GUGCGUCUUCAGGGCGGGGCGAAAUUCCCCACCGGCGGUAGGCUGGCGAAAGCCGGCGAGCCCGCGAGCGCCCGCGCAGCUGCGCGGGGUCAGCAGAUCUGGUCGAAUGCCAGAGCCGACGGUCAUAGUCCGGAUGAGAGAAGAUGUGC
rnacentral:ncRNA from 2 species